UAUUACGGCCAUACCACACUGACAACGCCCGAUCUCGUCUGAUCUCGGAAGCUACGCAGAGUUGGGCUGGGUCAGUACUUGAAUGGGUGACCGCCUGUGAAUACCCGGUGCUGUAAGCA
rnacentral:rRNA from 1 species